rnacentral:tRNA from 1 species
UUUUUAGUGACCUAAAUAGGGCACUGGAUUUAGAAUCAGGAAAACUUGGGUUCAAAUCCCAGCUUGAAUA